CUACGGGCGGCUGCAGUGGGGGAUAUUGCACAAUGGGGGAAACCCUGAUGCAGCAACGCCGCGUGAAGGAAGACGGUUUUCGGAUUGUAAACUUCUAUCAGCAGGGAAGAAAUUGACGGUACCUGACUAAGAAGCCCCGGCUAACUACGUGCCAGCAGCCGCGGUAAUACGUAGGGGGCAAGCGUUAUCCGGAUUUACUGGGUGUAAAGGGUACGUAGGCGGUUAUUUAAGUCAGAUGUGAAAGCCCGAGGCUCAACCUCGGGACUGCAUUUGAAACUGGAUAACUAGAGUACAGGAGAGGAAAGUGGAAUUCCUAGUGUAGCGGUGAAAUGCGUAGAUAUUAGGAAGAACACCAGUGGCGAAGGCGGCUUUCUGGACUGUAACUGACGCUGAGGUACGAAAGCGUGGGGAGCGAACAGGAUUAGAUACCCCGGUAGUC
rnacentral:rRNA from 1 species